CAAGCCUGUCAAGGUCCUUCUGGAUGGUAUCCCUUCCCUCCAGCGUGUCGACCACAUAGGUUGAUGUCAUUGGCAAACUCGCUGAGGGUGCACUCAAUCCCACUGUCCAUGUCACUGACAGACAUCUUGAACAAGACCGGUCCCUGAGGGA